rnacentral:rRNA from 1 species
GGUGAACGCUGGCGGCGUGCCUAAUACAAGCAAGUCGAGCGAACAGACGAGGAGCUUGCUCCUCUGAAGUUAGCGGCGGACGGGUGAGUAACACGUGGAUAACCUACCUAUAAGACUGGGAUAACUUCGGGAAACCGGAGCUAAUACCGGAUAACAUGUUGAACCGCAUGGUUCAACAGUGAAAGAUGGUCUUGCUGUCACUUAUAGAUGGAUCCGCGCCGCAUUAGCUAGUUGGUAAGGUAACGGCUUACCAAGGCAACGAUGCGUAGCCGACCUGAGAGGGUGAUCGGCCACACUGGAACUGAGACACGGUCCAGACUCCUACGGGAGGCAGCAGUAGGGAAUCUUCCGCAAUGGGCAAAAGCCUGACGGAGCAACGCCGCGUGAGUGAAGAAGGUCUUCGGAUCGUAAAACUCUGUUAUUAGGGAAGAACAAAUGUGUAAGUAACUAUGCACGUCUUGACGGUACCUAAUCAGAAAGCCACGGCUAACUACGUGCCAGCAGCCGCGGUAAUACGUAGGUGGCAAGCGUUAUCCGGAAUUAUUGGGCGUAAAGCGCGCGUAGGCGGUUUUUUAAGUCUGAUGCGAAAGCCCACGGCUCAACCGUGGAGGGUCAUUGGAAACUGGAAAACUUGAGUGCAGAAGAGGAGAGUGGAAUUCCAUGUGUAGCGGUGAAAUGCGCAGAGAUAUGGAGGAACACCAGUGGCGAAGGCGACUUUCUGGUCUGUAACUGACGCUGAUGUGCGAAAGCGUGGGGAUCGAACAGGAUUAGAUACCCUGGUAGUCCACGCCGUAAACGAUGAGUGCUAAGUGUUAGGGGGUUUCCGCCCCUUAGUGCUGCAGCUAACGCAUUAAGCACUCCGCCUGGGGAGUACGACCGCAAGGUUGAAACUCAAAGGAAUUGACGGGGACCCGCACAAGCGGUGGAGCAUGUGGUUUAAUUCGAAGCAACGCGAAGAACCUUACCAAAUCUUGACAUCCUCUGACCCCUCUAGAGAUAGAGUUUUCCCCUUCGGGGGACAGAGUGACAGGUGGUGCAUGGUUGUCGUCAGCUCGUGUCGUGAGAUGUUGGGUUAAGUCCCGCAACGAGCGCAACCCUUAAGCUUAGUUGCCAUCAUUAAGUUGGGCACUCUAAGUUGACUGCCGGUGACAAACCGGAGGAAGGUGGGGAUGACGUCAAAUCAUCAUGCCCCUUAUGAUUUGGGCUACACACGUGCUACAAUGGACAAUACAAAGGGUAGCGAAACCGCGAGGUCAAGCAAAUCCCAUAAAGUUGUUCUCAGUUCGGAUUGUAGUCUGCAACUCGACUACAUAAAGCUGGAAUCGCUAGUAAUCGUAGAUCAGCAUGCUACGGUGAAUACGUUCCCGGGUCUUGUACACACCGCCCGUCACACCACGAGAGUUUGUAACACCCGAAGCCGGUGGAGUAACCUUUUGGAGCUAGCCGUCGAAGGUGGGACAAAUGAUUGGGGUGAAGUCGUAACAAGGUAGCCGUAUCGGAAGG